rnacentral:lncRNA from 1 species
UCAAUACAUGUCUAGCGAUUCACGUGAAACAGAGAAAAAGAUAAAGACUGCCAUGUUAAUGAACAAGUGAGAUUGCCCAGUAUCACUCUGACAGAAGAGUAUAGUGUUUCCUUGAUAUGGUACCUGGUCAGCAAUGUCAUUGGGACCAAAUGAAAGUUUCUGCAGAUACCACACAGAAGCAAUUACUGUUACUGGAAUACCAGUAACGUUUAUUAAAUUCAGUUAUAAAGUAGUUAUGGGCAUUGCAGCUAGUGAGCAAUGUCAUCGGGCACCAAAAGAAGUUCAGUUAUGAUGGAUUUCUGGCCUUCAGUCCAUGGGAAAAUUCACACCAGAUUGCAUCAAGACUGUUAUAUUCCAAGGAUAUCUUGGAAGAUUGAUAGUAUUCCUGAAGGAAAACAAUCCAUAUAGUGUUUCACGUGUGUAUCAAACUGCCAUUUGUUGUGGCACAUAAAUGUUUGCAACUUGAUUGUAAUUUUUGAACAGUUUCUCAACAAUCCAAGAAUUUCUUGUAAUGAGAAGUAGACAUUGUUGCUUGGUUAAAGGAAAUACAAAUCACGGUCAAUACAACUACCUUAUUAACUUUCCACAUAGAAAUAUUUUUCACUACUGCUACUUAAAAAUUAAAAUGUGUGACAAAGUUUGCUUACAGAACUUGGCAUAAAGAUCUCCCUUAUUUUUAUUUUUUAGAUAGCUCUUAUUGGUUGAUCCUUCAAAUGGAAUGCUAUGACCUCCAUGUGAUCUAUUCCUUAGUAGUUAAUUAUCCAUUAAGGCACAAAUAUAUGAACAUUACAAUGAGAGGGGUCUUUAUGCCAGGCCCUGUAAAAGUAAUGGCACCUUACUUAAUAUUAUUGUUGGGAAUUUGAUGGCACAGCUGUGGGGAGACCACAAAUUUCAGGGUUAGCUAACUGCAAAUCUGGCACACAGCUGCUGAGUGAUUCAAGUACUUUUCAUAAUGUUUCACUGUUGAUACAGUUGUAUGUGAGAUUAUAAACCUGUUUGAACAACACCUUCACUUCAAAUUGCUGCAAAGAAAUGGUUAAGGUAUCAGUGUGAUGCUCUAUAUGUGUUUCCUCAACUGUGUCCUCAUUGCUACUGUCUUCAUGUGAAAUUACUGCAGACACAUUUCUGAAACCAAACCUGUACAUCUCGUGAAGACAGAUUAAUGGGCUAUUCCUGCAGCUUUCUGGUAUUUUAUCAAAACCCCACUCUGGAUAGAAAAUAAAGAUUGCACAGAAAUGCUUGCAUAGGUAUUUAUACAUCUCAAAAUCUUCACAUGUGCAGUUUGGUAGAGCAAAGCUUACAACAUAAUUACAGUCUUUGAACAUUGUACUCUCCAUACAAAACAUUGUCCAACUUCACAUCCGCUAAUCUUGCAGUUAACUCAACUUUCCCUGGUGCAUAUCACUGCAUGACAUGUUUCACAAACUUGCUUUAAAAAUAAAUAAAUAAAUGAAAAAACAGUGGAACAUCUCUGUUAUGAUUUGAUGGCAGAAUUCUGCAGACAGUAAUUUCUAAUUAGGCUUGGAAGAAAUUUAUUUCUUAUAUCCCUAGUAGCCCCAUUCAAGGUCCCAUCUGUAUUCCAUUUUAGGAAAAAAAAAGUUUACAAUCUUGUCAUGGCUUCAACUCCACUUGUAAUGUCAAUGGUAUCAAAACUGCCCUUGUCCUCAUAAGCUUCCACUCUCUUUUCAUGUACCAAUAGCCACUGCUGUUUAACGUACAGUGAUGCAUAUUUGUUUCUCUGAGAAGCCUCACUAUCUCUUCUGUAUGAUCUGUUAAUUCUCUGUUGGUGAUUCUGAAAUUUCUUGCCACAUGCCCAGAAAUCUCUUUAUGUCAUUUGGUAUAUAUUCAGCCAUCUUCCUCAAACCUGUUUCAGACUGAAAAGGCACAAGUAAAUUUUUGUCUGAGGAAAUGCUUGAUCAGUUGCGUUUAUCUCAGACUAUAAGAAAUCAGUAACCCAGUAGAUGGGAUUCCAAUCCUUGAAAAUGGCUAGUGCUUCAUGAAUGGAUCUCGCAUUUUCAACUUGAAUGAAAAAGAAAACCAAAUAACCCACAUUACUCUUUACGGCUAUAAAAAAAUAAAGGCACAUCAUUUGUUUUGUAUGUUGCAUAUAACAACUAUCCCUGUACUACUUCAAAAGAUCUCUUUGCUAACAGCUCUGAUAGAAAAAAGUGAUGGUUUCACUCCUCCAUUGGCACCUAUACCAUGUUUGUAAUAAAUCAUGUGAUUGCUUUAUUCCUUGUGCCACUCGUCAGCACGAUUCUGCAAUCUAGUCUCGUCAAACAAUGCUUUAUUUGUACAUUACAAGGUCCAAUAUGUGUGAAUAUAAUUUUUUUCAGUGGGGUAAAACGUAGUAUUCAUUAGACCUGGUAUGUGUGUCCCAGUGAAAUUAUCAAUAAAUGUAUCUAGAGCCAAAUUAUUGGCUGUGUGAUGUCAUUCCAUCGUGCACCUGAAUUUGUAUUUCCUUUACAAGCUAUUGUUAGCAUGUGUGUGUGUGCUGAUUUGCUGGAGAAGCAGAAAGAUAGUCUUUCAGCUAUCUUUGAGUCCGCCCCCGGUAGCUGAGUGGUCAGCGCAACAGACUGUCAAUCCUAAGGGCCCAGGUUUGAUUCUCGGCCGGGUCGGAGAUUUUCUCCGCUCAGCGACUGGGUGUUGUGUUGUCCUAAUC